GGAAGGACUGUAGUGCAGUGGUAGAACAUCUGCUCUGCAUGCAGAAGGUCCCAGCUUCAAUUCCCAGCAUCUCCA